rnacentral:lncRNA from 1 species
CAACUCUGAGCUCACAAAAUUGAUCUUAAGUUUCAUCUUCUUCGUCUUCGACUUCGUAGUUUCCAUCUCCGUCUCCUUCGUCCGCCAUCGAUUUCUAACCCUUUGUCACCGCCUCAAGGUAUGCCGAUGCGCUCUGAUUCUUUUGUCUUGAAUGUGAUUGGAUGAUAAUGAUUGUUUUGUGUUGAAAUUGUGAUAUAUGAGGAAUGUAAUGUGUUGUAGUUUGCUGCGAGAGUUGUAUUCUGUGCAUUGUGUGUUGUGCUAAGCACUACUUGUAUUAGAUUUUCAGCAUAUAGAUGGUGGUCCUUUCUCUACGUAGCCUCCUCUGGUUAGAUUUCUUAGCCUAUUAGUGGAAUUGUGCAAGUCUGUUGCGUAGUAAGCAUAUUGGGCACUAUUUGUUGUAUCGACAGGGUACUGAACAAGGUUCCCAUCAUUUUGCAUUUUGAGGCAGAAAAUCCCGAAUAAAUCAUCUGCUUCUGAGGCACUCGAGAAAAACUCUUGUCCAGCUGAUAUAUGCUUAUAUAGUGACGGAAUAUUGUUCAUCGCUAAUAUCCGUCGCUAAACACUAUUUUUUUAGUAGUGAAAGUUUUUCGUGUCCAGCACGGAAGCUCAAGCAAUGGCUCGAGAUGGAUUGAUGACAGAGAUUUCCUGGCUACCUACUUGCAUAAUGAGCCUUCCAUCACUAGUUAAGAGUAGGACAACGUUGCUUGGGACAAUAUGAGUGUUCUUGUUUGAAGUCCAUACUGUUGUUUUCUUAGGCAUACCAACAAUUGAACUUCCAACAGCAUAGCCAUUGGUUUGUUUGUAGUAUCCAAAGGCAAUUGGAUCAGUAAUAGUAUGUUUGGAUGAACCAUACAGAAUAACACUCCAAAGUUAAAAAUUUUUUAUAAUUAAUUAUUAUCAACUUGUUAGAAGAGAUCGGAUAGGACACUUUUGUUUCAGUAAUAUCCUAAGUUGAGCCUUUUGGCACUCCAACUUUGUAUCCCAAUGUCUGCUUUUGGAACUAAUAGCUCUGACAACCUUUGGGAAUUUGACAAAUCCUUUGAUCCCUCGUUUGAUGUGUGGAUUUUCAGCUUCUUGUGAAUGGUUUCUUCGAUGAAUCAUCACUUGGUACCGAAAAUUAGAAGCAUUGUUUCCCUCACUAAUAGAUUUGUGAUCACGCCUUGUUUCUGUUUCAUCAUCACAUGAAGCUGAUGAAGUGUUAUAGCUGUUGUUGUUGUUCUCUUGAAUCUUGGCUUCAAUUUUCGCAUUGGAUUGCUCUGUUUGUAACAUUUUCUUGGUUGCUUCCAAUAAAUAUUUAGCCUCUGUUAGCUUAAUUUGAUUGGUAAGCUUAGACAUAUCUCUAUUGGUAAGCUUAGACAUGGCUAACAGAAGCUUAAACACCUUAUCUAGAACUGCCAUGUUGAUUAUUUUGUCUUUCAUGCUAAAUUUUCUUUUUUUGUUAUUGUAGAAAAGUAAGACAUUUCUUGAACAAUCAUGGAGAAUUCUAGGAAUAGAAGAUGGAUGGAUUACAGUAGAGUCAGUAAAGAGUAUUUAGAUGGAGUAGAAAAUUUUCUAAACCAUGCGUUUCGUGAAAAUCAUAAUGGAG